rnacentral:rRNA from 1 species
UGGUGGCGACCGGCGCACGGGUGCGUAACGCGUAUGCAACCUACCUUAUACUGGGGGAUAGCCCGGAGAAAUUCGGAUUAAUACCCCAUAGUAUUAUUGGAUCGCAUGGUUUGAUAAUUAAAGGUUACGGUAUAAGAUGGGCAUGCGUCCUAUUAGCUAGAUGGUGAGGUAACGGCUCACCAUGGCGACGAUAGGUAGGGGGCCUGAGAGGGUGGUCCCCCACACUGGUACUGAGACACGGACCAGACUCC